AAGUCGUAACAAGGUUUCCGUAGGUGAACCUGCGGAAGGAUCAUUAACACGUAUCCAAACGUUAACCCCCUGUGAACCUUCAAUGUGCUCGUACACUUUGUCAAAGCGAGGCAAUCCCUGGUAAAUCAUCGCCGAACAGUUUUGAUUCUGGGACUUCCUCAAAGAGUGUGCAUGUUGCGCGAGGCAAGUGGCCUGGCAUUCCCAAGCAGUUAAUGUCUGAAAGUGUCAUUAGCUGUGUAAGGAUGACGCAGUAACGAUCGUAAGCCCCUUUAUCACCACUUAAUGCAUGACAGACGCGCCAGCGCUUAAUUGUGCGGCGACCAAAAACCGAACAACUGUUAACAAUGGAUAUCUUGGUUCUC
rnacentral:misc_RNA from 1 species